rnacentral:misc_RNA from 1 species
CCGAGCUUACAACUCCCAAACCCCUGUGAACAUACCUACUAUGUUGCCUCGGCGGAUCAGCCGCGCCCGUAAAACGGGACGGCCCGCCAGAGGAUCCCCUAAACUCUGUCUCUAUAUGUAACUUCUGAGUAAAAACCAUAAUAAAUCA